CCAGAAGUAGAUAGCUUAACCUUCGGGAGGGCGUUUACCACGGUGUGAUUCAUGACUGGGGUGAAGUCGUAACAAGGUAACCCUAGGGGAACCUGGGGUUGGAUCACCUCCUUACCUUAA
rnacentral:rRNA from 1 species